rnacentral:rRNA from 1 species
ACUGCUCAGUAACACGUAGCUAACCUGCCCUCAGGUUAAGGAUACCCUCGGGAAACUGAGGUUAAUACUUAAUAAGAGAUAUACCCUGGAAAGAUUUAUCUCCCAAAUUCGAGCCUGAGGAUGGGGCUGCGGUGGAUUAGGUUGUUGGCGGGGUAAAUGCCCACCAAGCCGAUAAUCCAUAAGGGCUCUUAGCGGAGAGGCCCUGAGAGGGAAUCUGAGACACUAUUCCCAGCCCUACGGGGUGCAGCAGUUAGGAAUAAUUUGCAAUGCGCGAAAGCGUGACAAUUUGAGCCAGAGUGCUCCUCAUUGAGGAGCUUUUGCCAAAUGUAAAAAGUUUGGCGAAUAAGGACUGGGCAAGACUAGUGCCAGCCGCCGCGGUAAUACUAGCUGUUCAAGUCGCAGCCACAAUUAUUGGGUCUAGAACAUCCGUAGCUUGUUUGGUAAGUUUCUUGUGAAAUCCUGUCUCUUAAGGGCAGGGCGUGCAAGAAGUACUGCCAGGCUAGAGACUGGGAGACGUAAGAAGUACGUUCAAAGUAGUGGUAAAGUACGUUAAUCUUGAGCGGACUAACAAUAGCGAAGGCAUCUUACGAGAACAGUUCUGACAGUAAGGGAUGAAGGCUAGGGGCGCAAAUUGGAUUAGAUACCCAAGUAGUCCUAGCAGUAAACUCUGCACACUAAACAUUGGUGCCUCCUCGAGAGGCGUCAGUGCUGAAAGGGAGGCCGAAGAGUGUGCUACCUGGGAAGUAUAGUCGCAAGACCGAAACUUAAAGGAAUUGGCGGGGGAGCAC